rnacentral:misc_RNA from 1 species
GCCCCUUUCUCCCUUCUAUCUAUUGACUCUCAUUUUCUUAGUCUCAGCUUCUCCUUCUCUUUCUCAACUCUCACAGUUGACACUUGGUAAUCUCCUCUUCUCCUUCACAAAUCACAAUCCUCUCAAUUCUCAACUUUCCUCAACUCAGACAAUUGGUCCUUUCUCACUCUAUUUCUCGAUGCUCAGCUGUGAUCCUCAUCUCUCCUCUUGACGAUCGUUUCUCAGUCAGCAUUCAGUAGUCAUUGUUCCACUCCACACAACAGCCAUCCUGCCAGUCAGGUCUAGUCAGCCACUUCUCUCCAUUUGUUGGUCGCAAGCCAACCAAGUCAUCUCGCCUCAAUUUUCAGGUCCCAAAAUAGAAGAAGCUCCCAAGCCUCUCUCUUUUUCUUCUCUAUUCCAAAUAAUGGAUUAAUUGGUUUUGGGCUCGAGUCUAUUUCAUGAGAUUUCCUUUUCUGAGUUGUUGACUUCUUAUGGGUGUGGCUAUUUUCAUGUAUUAAUUAAGCAUUAAUUGAUUUACGAAAUGUUGUCCUACAUUGGUUUGUGAUGAGGUAUUUGAACCAUGUAUAAGAUUUGGGUAAACUUCCUUCCCUUGAGCUAGCUUUUGGGGUAG